ACGGAAGGCAGCAGUGGGGAAUAUUGGGCAAUGGGCGAAAGCCUGACCCAGCGACGCCGCGUGAAGGAAGAAGGCCUUCGGGUUGUAAACUUCUGUAGACAGGGACGAAGAAAUGACGGUACCUGUAAAGUAAGCCACGGCUCACUACGUGCCAGCAGCCGCGGUAAUACGUAGGUGGCGAGCGUUAUCCGGAUUUACUGGGUGUAAAGGGUGUGUAGGCGGAGGAUCAAGUCAGAUGUGAAAAUUAUGGGCUCAACUCAUAACUUGCAUUUGAAACUGAUCUCCUUGAGUGUGUGAGAGGUAAAUGGAAUUCCCAGUGUAGCGGUGAAAUGCGUAGAUAUUGGGAGGAACACCAGUGGCGAAGGCGGUUUACUGGACCACAACUGACGCUGAGACACGAAAGCGUGUGGAGCAAACAUGAUUAGAUACCCUGGUA
rnacentral:rRNA from 1 species